rnacentral:tRNA from 1 species
GUGGUUGUGGCUCAGUGGUAGAGCACAAGUCUUGCACAAGCGAGGGCCUGGGUUUGAUCCUUAGCACCACA